UGCCCUCCACUCAUUCUGAGACCAAGCAGC
rnacentral:piRNA from 1 species